CAGAUUAUUAGACUUAUGAAUUGCUUUCUUAACACUUACCGAAGCCAUAAUAAACAUGAUUGAACCAAAUAGACGCAGGCUGCGAUUGUAGCGCUGUUCCAGAUACUACGUUGGGAUUUAAAUAGAGACUGUUGAGUCGCAUUGGGAACUUUCAAUCGAUAGCUAAGCACAUACCUUGCCCAUUAGCACUAGGGAGCCCAUAAUGUACAGAUACUGAGCACCGUACAGGUAAACCUCGGUGGGUGUGCCCAGCAGUGUGAUGCCCGAUAUGAAGCUGUGAAGAAUAGAAGAGGAAACUGCUGGUAGUUCGCUAGCUCAGCAAUCUACUUGAUAAAUUCUCGCAAAGCUGUUUAUUAUUUCUAAUUUUUGCUUGGCAAUCAGAGGCGACAAGUUCGUCUAUUUGAAACGUAGCAUUCACCUGCCCAUUGUCUUGGGCAUCCAAUUGGGGAACUCGGCGUGAAUUGAAAGUCUCGAGCGGACCCGCAGAUCAGCCCCACUGAAAUCCACACCCAGACUUUGUCUUUGGUUGGGCCUCUCUCGAGUGAUUUGGGGUGCCAAAUGUGUAGAAAUCGGUGGCGUAAAUUAACUUGAUUAGAUUUAGCGCGCAAAUUGAGCUCAGUAACUGGCGCGAGCUCUGCCUAUGUAGGCCGACGUGCAAAAGAGAUGGCAACAGGCUGUGUGAUAGAGAAAGCAAGAGCGAUGAGUGCGCCACACAAAUCGUGCCAGAUUUAGAAUGCGUAAUUUGCCAGAGCAUAUACAUAUACACACAAUAUGUGUUCAUAUAUAUGCAUAGUUCGUUCAGGACUUAAGUUAAUUUGUCGAAAUUUUGCGCAUAUAUAAGUAUAAUCUGAAAUUAGCUGCGACUUAAAAGAAUACGCGCAAGUCUUGGAAAUCCAUAUAAAACAAUUGAACUAUAAUAGUUAGACAGAUCUUGGCUUAAUAUACUUUUGUGUUGACCCUUUGAUUUUAUCUAUAUACACAUACAUAUGUUAUAAGAGCUUGCCCUGACUGAAUUGCUGAAAGAAUUACUCAAGCCGAAAGAGUCAGCACGGGAUUUUUGCAAAAUGCAACCUCCAAGUGGGGUCAAAGUUUGUAUGCAAAACAUUAUAAACAACACAUGUAAAUUAUAAGUUUUCUUUGCAAGCGUGAAGUCAUGAGCCUGUGUGACUCAGGUAUCUGAGCGUCGGACUCAAAAGCGAAAGGUCGCUGGUUGAAAUGCAGCAACAAUUCACAAUUCACAUAGACAAAUGUAUUUAUAUUGAUUAAAAUAACAACGGAGCAAUGAAUAAUUAAUAGGAGUUAACAGCUGAGCAUAAGCACGGCAUGAAGUUUAGGGUUCGAACGCCUGAGAAGACAGAAGACA